rnacentral:lncRNA from 1 species
UGAAAUAAUGGGUGUGAUAUUAAAAUUGGCAUACCCCUUUCACCCCUCUUUGGGAGUGGGCACCCCCUGUAAAUCUAUCCUUGUCUGGGGUAUGUAGCCCAUCCACUUUGUCAUCCACCACAUAGUAAUACAAAGUUUAGGAUACAGUAUUUAUAUAUUUACUCCUCUAUUUAUUGCAUACGUUUCCGUAAAAUGCUCCGUGUAUUCAUGGACAAGGUUGGCAUUGGUUAUCAUGGCUUUCAUAAAUUUUCGCUCAUGAAACUAUUUCAUAAUUAAAAUAGUAGACUUUAGUAUAGCUAAUUGGGUGUAAUAUUUAAAGCACAUUUAAGAGUGUAUGCUGUAAUUCAAAUAAUACUUUACAUGCCAUCUCAUUAGUGUUUGUAUGUAGGGUAUACUAAUUAGAUAUUUUGUUUCAUUGGGUAUGAAACCAAGUUCACGUAACAUACACGUAUUUUGGUUGACAUGAUUUGCAAAAAACUUAUAAAUUACGAGUGUUUGAAUUAUGUUUAAUAUCCUCCUUACUCCCACGCUUUAUAAUCAUAUUUCGCGUUUUAAUUUGACACCAGUUUAUCCGUACCCUUCCGUACCAGGCACCAUGAUAUUUGAAAAUAUGUCAUGCACAUGCCUAUCCACGUGUCUAGUUUACACCAAUAAGAGGGUGCGAAAUUUUGGCGCAAAGUACAUGGAUCUAAACUAAAAGACGGUUGAUAAUUGUGCUCUAUCUCGCUCGAAGCAGUUCGCUACUGAAGUACAUAAACAUUCUCCGCUUUGCGUCUGGGAUAUCUUCAAAGGUCAAAGUAAAAGCUAUGUUACACGAACUGUAUCAAGAUUCAGUACGAUUGUAGAAGGUAAGCUCAAUUAUGCUUUUAAUAUAAAUAUGUAUUCGUGUUUACCCAUACACUUGGCUCUAAGAUGUCAUGUCUUAAAUCGUUAAAUCGUAGAACCAUUUUGUUCUGUUGUCUAACUUUGUCCACUGUUUAUGUUGCUCUUCCUAUUAUUGGAUCUAUAUUAAAGUACAUGGUAAUUGCAGUCUGCGUUCUUGUUCAAACUAAAUAAAAUAUAAUUGCAAAAUAUCUUGGUGCGCAUUCACGCAAUUAUAACCAACUGCCGCGUACUACACUAAUUAUCGUAUGUUUAUUGCGUUAUUUACAGGGUGCGCAAAUAUAAAUUGCUGGAUGAUAUACUGUAUAUUCUACACAUUAAUGCAUGUAAGUAAAUCGGCCUCGUUUGGCGCUCUUUCAACUUGCAUCAGUGGAAAUUUGUUUCACGCCUUUAUCACUGGUACAUAAUUUAAUACUUGUAGUAGCUAGUGUAUACACCAAAGCUUGCGUCAAACACGUUACGAAAUCUUUCUCGUAUUCAACAAGCAAACGUGGUCGUUGUGCAAAGGCUUCUUUGUGUAAUACGUACAGUAUUGUCUGGGUAUUGAAGGAAUUUGAGCUUGCCUUUUAGUUUAGGUAUGCCAAAUAUGUUGCGUGCUUGCCUGAAGGUCAUGGUCACACUAAAAAUGCUUGCUAUAUUUUGCAAUAAUUUUAUACAUGUACUAUCUAUGCAGAAAGCAGCUUUAUACAGUACUUCCUUUAUAUCGAUUAUUAACGAUUCAGCCAGAUGUAGAAAUAGGCUCGAUUAAACUAAAAAAAUCGUAAGUCAAUAUACAGUACUUCAACAGAAUUCGUUGAUUGCAUGUCAUACCAAGUAAAUUUUGUUUAUAUUGUAUUCGGUUGCAUGUGUGCAUUUUGGGUUCAAGCAAGCAAGCAUUCUACCAUAAUUGUCACCGCGAGUCUGCGACCUUACAAAUUAAUUAAAGAUUAUAGAUUCAAUACCUUCGCUUCAAAGCAUAUGUCCCCUGGAUUUUCUAUAGCUAGUGGAUAAAUUCCCCUCCGGAAAGUGACUCAUAACAAAUUUCAUUCUCUAUCUGCCCCAAACUCAUUAAAGUUCAACAAUUAUAGCUAAAAAUACAAUAUAAUUUCAGGAAUGAUGAAAGUUUUCCCAAGACAAACACAG